rfam:Schistosoma curassoni strain Dakar, Senegal genome assembly, scaffold: SCTD_scaffold0002857
AUCCAGCUGACGAGUCCGAAAUAGGAUGUAACACGCAUCCUGGAU